UCCGCAAGGCGUAAGGCAAUAGAUAACUCGUUCGAACUGUAGCGCCAAAAUCGUCUCCCGAGCAGGAAAAAGAAUAGCUCAAGCGAAUACCAGCUGUCUCUACAAUGAAAACUAACAGACCCCUAAUUGCAGCUGAGCCAGCUAUGAAUUUGGGAGAUGUUUGUGACGAAAUUUGCAGUUUAAUCAGGGAAGGGCUUAGAGUAGUUGCUGCUAGACAGACUACUGAAGAACAUAAUAGCAAGUUCAAUCAGUUUUUUGUCUGUUAACCUCCUUGGUUUGGAGAGGAUACCGACCCCUUAGUUGCUAAACGCUGGGUUUUGGGGUUAGAGAACAUCUUUGAUUGCAUAGGCUGUUCAGACGAGCAAAAGGUUUCCUUUGCUUGUUUAAGACUGAAAGAUUCAGCACUUUCUUGGUGGAUAGUGUCAAAAAGAUACUUGAAUGCUGAUGGGGCUGCAGUGACAUGGGAGAAGUUUAAGGACUUAUUCUAUAAGAGAUAUUUCCCUAGUUCGUUGAAGCAUGAGAAGCAUCGUGAACUCUGGAAAUUGGGACAAGGAAACAGAACCGUGACUGAGUAUGAUGAAGAAUUCAUUACCUUGUCUUCUCUUGUUUCUGAACUAAAUCCAGACGAUUCUUUGGAAGCUAGGCUGUUCUAUGAAGGCUUAAGGCCAGAUAUUAGUCGACAACUUUGCUUCACGGAUAACGUGUCGUACUUUGUCGUACUCCGAUCUUAGAAACUCGGCAUUACUGGUGGAACUGUGCCUUAACCGUAAAGAUGUUUGAAGUAGAAAGAAAAGGGUAGCAGCAAACCAGAUGGGAGGUUUCAGUUAUGGAUCAUCCUCACCUUUCAAUGCCUGCUUAUGAUUAGUUAUAGUUCUCUUAAAGUUUCAUUGUUUAGGAAGUUUAUAAUGGUAAUGCUUUGUUCUUCCUCCCAAAAACUGAAUUCCACACUCCCUCUCUGGUUUAAUGCUUUGUUCUGUUGCUUUUGUUAGGUGGAGUUUAUUGGCUUAAUGCGUCUCUACAGCUACUUUAUGUUCUUUGUUCCAUUUCCUCACACUAACGUGUCCAUUGGUAGUUUGUUCUUUGUUUCA